GAAGAAAACUGUCAUGUUGCCUUUUAAAUAUGGUAAUCUCUUCUCCAGGCUAAACAGCUCCAGCUCUUCACAUCCUUGUUCUCUAUCCCCAAACCAUCUGUGUUGUCAUCCUCUAAAUAUAUUCCAGUUUGCGGAUCAUCUCUAUGCAUUUGCAAUCAUUGGCUGGAAAUAUGAAAGGUGGCUAAAUUUGCUUUCAAGGAACAGCUGUAUAGAACACUUAUUUCCCUCCUGUCUUCAUAAGGCUAUGGCCUGGGCCAUAUUGGGAAUUAACACUGCAAACUGAUUCUGCAUGAAGUUCAGUCACCAGGGAUAGUUUUGUGAUGUUCCACCAAAAGUGCUUAACUGCCCUUUCAUUUCCCUCAAAGAUUGUUCUUUCAAGGGUGUGGGCCAGUACAUUUUUGGCUAACAAAUUGUCACUAACUCUCCUAUUUUUAGAACUUGCUUUUGCAUCCAAAAUCUUUGCCCCUUAAUUUACCAACCUCUUUCCCAUCAGUUCAUUACUAAAGAAAAUGGUUCUUUUAAGAAAUUCUUACAAGUGGUGCUAAUACUUAAAAAUAAGAUCUCAAAUUAAUCACAUCACUAAAUAGUUUAUUAAUGAUGCAAAGCCACAUGGGCUAUUAAAGCUAAGAGGUUUGUCAUUAGCUGAUGUAACUACAGUUUGUGCAGACUGUUUUUAUAUUUAAUGAUUCCUUUAACUAUUUAAGGCAAUGAUAUGACUAGCCAUUGAAGGUGGAACGUUUGCUAUAUAUAGGCACCAGGUCUGGUAAUCAUGAAGAGUGCUAUAGGGUAAACUCCUGUAGCUAAUAAUUAAAAGUUACUUAGAAUGGGCAAAUACUCCAGUAUAAUAAUCAUAAAUCCCAUUAUUAUCUGCAUCUACUACCAUUUUGCAAUGGGCUAUACAAAAAUAAUUUUCAAAGCUGUUUUUGGAGACAUAUUUUCCAAAAGCUAGCUAUGUUACACUGGGGAGAACACAGGAGCCCUAUCACAGAGAAGAAGCAAGAAAAAACUAUUGGACUGUGAGGUAAGCUAUUACUCAUCAGAUGCCUUUUUAGUUGUUGUUCCUGGAUAAAUUAGAAUCGGUUUUAUACAUGUGGAGUUUCCAGAAAUUCGGAAGUAUUAUCCAGAACUGAGUUUGACCCAACCUUUCCUGGUUAUUUUUGCUAAAGUAUAAAAUAGGAUUUAUUUCUGGGUGUCAAGUGUAUAUAAAGAAAUAAAACACGCUUCUAAGGAACUAGAAAACAGUAUUAUCUCCACAAGGGAACUUUUCCAUUUAUAAUACGCCACUAGAUGAUUUUGGAGUGUGUCAGCAACUGAGCUGCAAAACUGAGCAUAGCUUUGUCAUUGAACAAGGGAAAGCCAUUAAUAUGGCGGCUGCUCUGUGUCUUUUCGUAAGAAAUGAGCCACCUAUUGGGGCCUUUAAUAGAUUUCGGGGUUUUCCCCCAUCUCACACUUUCUUGGUUGUCCUUUGUUUUUAAUUCUCUAGGACAUAGUGUGUUUACUUUAAUGAGAUGCAGGGCCUGUGAUCCAGCAGGAAGAGUGCUUAAUCUUAAACUCGACAAUGUUCUAAUGGGUAAAGGAAUGCAGAGAAGCAUGACAGAUCGUUUCAUACAAUUGCUGCAGCCGCCUGAUUCAGAUCCUUUAAAAAGAGAGGGUUAUCCUUAUUCCCAGACGAUGUCAAAGUGGUAUGAUUAUAUAAGAAAGCUUACUGAUGGAGAAGUUGGACUGCAUGGUGGGGGGGGGCAUACUGAAGAAUGCAAGGCUACCUGGGCAAUGCUAAAAUGUGGGGAGGGGGGCAAUCCCACAGCUGAAGAACUUCCUAAUCGUUGCUGCCUCACUCUGGCUAGCAUGGAAGGUGGUGGAAUUUUCUUGUUUGCUCUGUCCACCACCCUGUUGCUAAUGUUCCCUUUGAUAUUAACAUAAUGGAUAGAAAAUCACUACACUCUUUCCAGGACUGGUGUAGGAUUCUGCCCCCCUUUUCAGAAUUGUGUCAUGGGAACAAGGGUUUGGGAUCCUGCAGAUCGAAGGUGUUUGCCACAUCCACCCUUUCUUAACACUGUGAAAAACUGCUGAUGGUACAGUUAUACCUGCUGAGCUUUCUGGGGCCUCCUUAAGAGCGCAAGUGCUGCCUCCACCCGCAGAGUAAUACUUUCACCAUCUCACAAUACGUAUUCCUUAGGCAGACUUUGACCUGCUUUAGAAGUGCAGCCUCUAGUAUCAUUCAUAAACAAGGUACGCUUGAAAUACAUAGGGCCUACAGAUGCUACCAAAUGAGAAAAUUGGGAUCAAGUGUGAGAAGUCAUGUCAUCUCGGCCUACUUUCCUUGCUACAGGAGGAAUCGAGCAAAACAGGGAAGCAGAAAAGGAAGUUGAUAAACUCCCAUGGGCCUGUCAGUGUCUUGGACUAGGUCAAAGCCCAGCAAAAGCAAUAGUCACCAAACAUUGUCCUUCGCUCACAUGUGAGUACUGCAAGGCUGCCUCUGCAAAUAGGCAGAGUGAUCAGCUGCUUCAGGCAGCAAACCCUACUUUGUGCGUGCUGCUGCUUCCUGCCAUUCUUCCUGAGCACCCUAGUUUGCAUUGCACCACUUGAGCUGACAUGCUGAUGUCACAGAAUCAUAGAAAUGUAGAGUUGGAAGGGACCACAAGGGUCUAGUCCAACCCCUUGCAAUGCAGGAAUAUUUUUAGCCAACCUGGUGCUCAAACUCACAGCCCUGAGAUUAAGAGUCUCAUGCGCUACCAAUUGAGCUAUUGUCUUCUGUCAGUUUUGAAGCAAGAGGCAAUUUCUACCCCAGUCUGCUUCUGUAUGUGAAAUAGAAGACAAAUCAACUUGCCCUUCAUCUUGGGCAACAAAGGGUUGUAUCCAAUGUAGUGCUAAGCUGAAAUCACUUAGCAAUAUACUUUUUCUGAUAGCAAAACAUUUUGCGCCAUCAGGACAUUGUUGCACAAGAGAAUGCAUAGGCAAGUAGCUGCUAACUAUGUUGCACAAUAGAUUGUGCAAUCUGUUACACAAUUCAUUUCUGCUAGCAGAAUUGUUGUGUUGGAUUCCUUGGUUGUGCAACAUUAAAGAACCUUUGCACUAGCAGAGAACAUUGGAUGCAGCCCAAAAUGUCCUCAGCUGGUCCUAGGGAAAAUAGCAAUAAAUUAAGUUCCAGAUUUGGGGACUUUAUUCAAGAUAAUCUGCACCAUGGGUUGGAAAACCUAAUGGCAUUCUGCCAUGCUAAGAUAAACUUGCCUAAGCAGCUGGGAAAAGUGAAGGCGAUGCUGUUAAGGUUUUUACUAAACACUUCCAACCAUCUCAGAUAGAUGCUGGUAACAGUGGCAGCACAUGAAAUGAUCCAUUAGAGCAACUAAAUGCAAGUACCAUAGAAUGAGCUCAGUGCUGCUUUUGACUUUCCACUGCUGCUGUUCCUACUGCUGUUGGCAGUGGGUAACCAAAGCAAAACACACACAAAAAAACCAAGCCACUUAAUGGGGCCCAUACAAAUUAAAGAGGAAUAAAAAUUACUCAACAAGUUAAUUUGAUUUUCCACUUGGGUACGACUCAAACUCCCAUGGAAAUGUGUAUAAUGUAGUGGAAUAAAGCUCUAGAGAACAAAAUGGGGUUGGUGCACCCAGAUAGUUGUCCAAUAUAUCCAAAAAUGGUUUCCAUUGUGUUUUAUAGUAGCGUCACCAAUAUUCAGACACUGACAUUUGUUUUAAGAUGCUUUACACUGAUCAUUUUUAUGUGGUUGGUGCAACUCGGCAUUAAGGAUACUGUUCUGUCAGCACAAGCAUUUCUGCAUGUCUGGUGGAAUGAUCUCCACUAUUCUCUCAUCCCUCCAGAGCAGAUUUGAGAAGGGGCAGGAGAUGUGAAAGGAGGAAGUCCCAUUGCACUGAUUUCCUCUAGCUCAACUAUCUAGAAGAAAUUGGCCAAUUAUUGAAAUAUACAUUUGUUAAAAAACCAGAAGCUUUUCUACUAGGUAUUGUAGGUACGGACAUUAAUAGACAAGAUAAAAAGUUAUUUUUAUAACAGCUGCGAGAAUAUUAUUGGCACAGAAAUGGAAACAAGAAGAAUUGCUGACAAAGGAGGACUGGCAGAUAAAACUGAUGGACUACGCAGAAUUGGAUAAGGUGACAGGAAGGAUUCGUAACCAGCGGGACCAGAACUUCUUGAAAGAGAAAAUAUGCGAAAUAUUUGAAAGACAAUUGUAGUAAUUUGACUACACUUGUAGGACUACAAGAAGUUGUGUAAGGAGAAUAAUAUGAAGUAUUACAAAAGAGGAUUUAGGAAAUAGCUUUUAUUGAAGAUUUGAACUGUUAAAGUAAUAUGGACAAUAAUAAAAUGCAGAAUUAAGACGUAAAGUUUGAAAAUCAUUGGUUGUGGUUGAUGGAAGUAGUAGGCUAAAACAUAGCCAAAUGGACAUAUAAAUUGAGAAGACAUGUUGUGUUUUUAUCUUUUGUUUGUUAAUGU